GACGAACGCUGGCGGCGUGCUUAACACAUGCAAGUCGAACGGAAAGGCCCUGCUUUUGUGGGGUGCUCGAGUGGCGAACGGGUGAGUAACACGUGAGUAACCUGCCCUUGACUUUGGGAUAACUUCAGGAAACUGGGGCUAAUACCGGAUAGGAGCUCCUGCUGCAUGGUGGGGGUUGGAAAGUUUCGGCGGUUGGGGAUGGACUCGCGGCUUAUCAGCUUGUUGGUGGGGUAGUGGCUUACCAAGGCUUUGACGGGUAGCCGGCCUGAGAGGGUGACCGGGCAAAAUGGGACUGAGAUACGGCCCAGAAUCCUACCGGAGGCAGGAGUGGGGAAUAUUGCACAAUGGGCGGAAGCCUGAUGCAGCAACGCCGCGUGCGGGAUGACGGCCUUCGGGUUGUAAACCGCUUUCGCCUGUGACGAAGCGUGAGUGACGGUAAUGGGUAAAGAAGCACCGGCUAACUACGUG
rnacentral:rRNA from 1 species